UAUAGUGUACCUGAAGCUCCAAAGUGAAGAGCGCGGUUUUUUUUUGUUUUCGUCAACGGAAUGUGAACCAUGAAUCCUCGGAUUCGCAGUCCAGGCACGUUAACUAAUAGGCCACGCCUGACACUUUUUUUUUUGCUCUUCCUUUACCCGUGUUCAUCACAUUCCUGGCGGAGAUAGUAUCAUUCAUUGAUUUCAGAAUCACCAUGAAAGGAGCCACCUGGUGGUUAGCAAUGCGUCUUAUUGGGUUAACUCUGUGUCUCACUGUCAUCAGUGGACAGAAGUGCUCAGAAGACAGUGAGCAGUUUCCUAGCCACGUAUUAAGUAUAGAAGACUCGGAAAAAAAUGGCGCCAAAAUAGAAAUUAUUAAUUUCUACUUCACUAAAAGCGUUGAGACUUGUACAACGGAGUGCUGUGAAAAAACAUAUGGUAACUGCACUGUUUCAUCUUUCAUCCGGAAUCAAAGCAGCGUCAACUGUUAUCAUUUCCAGUGUACUCCAGUGGCCCUCUGUAGUCUUAGUCCUUCCAACCGUUCAGAAUCCAUGGUAGUUUUUAUCAAUACAGAUAAAGACGAACUUGAAAAGAAUGAAUCUCUGAUGGAGACGUCAAAUAAGGAAAAUGGUUUCAACAAUCAUCUACAAGAAAAUGUAGAAGAUAAUAAAAAAUUCAAACCAAGAAAGGGAUUUAACGCUUCUAUUCAAACUAAUGAAAUCUUGUUAGACUCAAAUGAAACUUUGAGUUUGAACUUCAGUGAGCACAUUAGUAACGUAACGACAUUUAAUGAAACAAAAACUUAUAUUUACCCUAGGAAAGGUGUGGUUCCGAAUUCCAAGAAAGAGACAUUGGAGUUCAUUCGGGUAGGAAAAGAAGAAACAACGAAAAACAUGGAAGAUAACGUAACCACGAAUAAUUCGGAUUAUUUCAAAUUUACUAAUGAAACUAAUUUGGCUGAAAUUUUUGAAGAACCACCCCAUCCUAUUUCUGUUCAUAAGGAAACCUUUAACGUAAGUACAACGCCUACUGGGACGGAACUGCAGAACAAUAACAACAGUAAGAAAGGCAAACUGGUUAUGGUUACCUCACGACCGGUUCCUGUUUCAAGUGUUACUGAGAGCAGUGUGAAAGUGUUCAAAGAAAAUAAUCGCCAAGAAAAACCAGUGUUUUUAGACAGUUUGCAAAGCCUUUCCGUAAAUAAUGAAACGCAACUUGGCAUUGAGGUGACAGAAACACUAUUUACUGGAAGCCAAGAAACAUUACCUGAUUACAAACAACAAACAUCUGCUUUUAGUUACGAAUUAGAUGCUAUCUCUACGUUGCAUCAAGAUUUGAAAUCUGUAAGUCAAAACCAAGGUGAUACACACGUAUAUUCAAACAUUACAGGAAAGAACAUGGACUCUAGGAAGAAUGAAAAAUUGUCGAAUAAUUUGUCAAAUGGAACAGAGAAACCACUAAAAUUAUUGACACAAGAAACAAUAAUGGAUAACGAAAACAACAAACCGACCUAUCCUGGAGUUACAGAAUACGAUAAUGUUCUAAUACAUUUCACACGAGUGCAUAAAGUAGAUAAAAAGGUCUUACUAGACAAACCCUUUACAGAAGUUACCGAUGAUAAAAGUAGUCCUACUGAAUAUACUUCCGACUUUCAAGAGCAACCAACUUUGCCUCCUUACGUCCAGCACACAAAUAUUGUUCAUGUUUCUCUCACGCCACAUACGACUGCAUCCUUGGACAAUCCAACGUCAAACUUAAGCAAGUCCUGGUCAAAAUCUCAUAUAAUUUCUAAUACGACCAUACAAAUAACUCUCUCCACACCUCAACCUAUUAAGUUAACAAUGCCAUUGAGCAGAACACAACAGCACCAGAAACUUACAACAGAAUCUGUUUUGAAUCCAAUAAGAAACUUUACACCAGUUGUCAGUAAAGACAACAUCAAGAUGGACUCAGUUCAUCAAACCUACGAUUCUUCUUCUGUUCACCUUAUCAUUGCUUUAGUAUUGGGUUUACUGUUGCUAUUUACAGUACUAGGUUUGGUAGGCAAACGAAUCUACGACACCUGGCAGCGACGCCAUUACCACAGAAUGGAUUAUCUAAUUGAGGACUUUUACAACAGCUAACUUAGUACCUUCGUUAUCGGCUUGUAAGGAAGAGUAACAACAACAAAUCGGAAACAAAGAGAAACUGGAGAGAGUGGGAUUACACGUAGAUUGAAGAACUAAAUGUGUAGAAAGAUGGAUGACUCAACGCUUUACGUUUUGUUGCACAAAAUAGAGUUUCUUACAUACAAAUUUGGAUAAUCUUUUUCUUUAGAUUUGGAAAGAUGGUCUUCCAUUUCUAUCAAUCCACGACUGUCUAAACGAGGAAUAUAUUCCCUCUACCUUAAACCAUGGCUGUCUAAAGUGGAAAUAUCGUACCUAACGACUAGAAACGUCUUUCCAUUCUAUCCAUCUAUAAUUGUAUAAAAAGUGGAAGUCUUCACUUUCUUUUAACCCAGACUGUCUAAGGUGAGGAAGGCUUCCUUUUGUUUUAACCCAGACUGUCUAAGUGAGAAAAUGACCCCUUUCUUUUAACCCAGACUGUCUAAGUGAGAAAAUGACCCCUUUCUUAUAACCCAGACUGUCAAAGUGAGAAAAUGACCCCUUUCUCUUAAGCCAGACUAUCUAGAGUGAGAAAAUCACCCCUUCCUCUUAACCCAGACUGUCUAAGGUGAGGAAGUUUCCCUUUCUCUUAAUCCAGAGUGUCUAAAGUGAGGAAUGCUUCCGUUUAUCUUACUCUAGACUGUUUAAAGUGAGGAAUGCUUUCCUUUCUCUUAACUCAAACUAUCUAGAAUGAGGAAGGCCUCCCUUUCUCUUAACCCAAACUAUUUAGAAUGAGGAAGGUUUCCCCUUCUCUUAACCCAGACUGUCUAAGUGAGAAAAUGACCCCUUUCUCUUAACCCAGACUGUCAAAGUGAGAAAAUGACCCCUUUCUCUUAACCCAGACUAUCUAGAGUGAGAAAAUCACCCCUUUCUCUUAAUCCAGACUGUCUAAAGUGAGGAAUGCUUCCGUUUAUCUUACUCUAGACUGUUUAAAGUGAGGAAUGCUUCCCUUUCUCUUAACUCAAACUAUCUAAAAUGAUGAAGGUUUCCCCUUCUCUUAAUCCAGACUGUCUAAAGCGAGGAAGUCUUGCCUUUCCUCUUAACCCAGACUGUCCCAAGUGAGGAAUGCUUCCCUUUCUCUUAACCCAGACUGUGUAAAGUGAGAAAAUCACCCCUUUCCCUCAACCUACAGUUGUCCUACAACUGUAUAAAAUUAGGUGUUUUGUUAGAAUUGACUGAUGAAAUUGUCAUCAGCUACCUGUAUAAUACAAAAUUGAAACGGAACACUGGAGUGAAUGUAAAGUGACACAUUAAGCAGCUAUGAUAUGUAAAUUUCAUGCUUCUAGCUUCGUGAGCGAACGUCUCGUCUAACCUUUAGAUAAUCUGAGAUCGUGUAAAUAAAAUAUGGAUGCACUGUAAAUAUUUGCUGUCUUGAAACCUUAAAGGAGUCUCACAUUUGUAGUUCUAGCUUAAUAAACACCGGACGACAUGAGGAAAGAACUAUUAUAUUGUAUUGGUUACAUAAUACGAUUUUGGUAAUUGUAUCUUUUAGCUGAAUUACAUUUGAAUCUUUUGUAUUAUGAAUUGGACUUAGCUUCUAGGACUUUUUCUCUCUAUAGGCGUCAAAUAAAUUCAGUAAUUUUAAAAACAAAUAAAAUCAUGCUUUUUCAACCCUC
rnacentral:misc_RNA from 1 species